CCCUUAGAUGUUCUGGGCCGCACGCGCGCUACACUGAUGCAUUCAACGAGUCUAAAACCUGCUCUGAUAGGGGUGGGUAAUCUUUUGAAUGUGCAUCGUGAUUGGGAUAGAUGAUUGCAAUUUUUCAUCUUCAACGAGGAAUGCCUAGUAAACGCAAGUCAUCAGCUUGCAUUGAUUACGUCCCUGCCCUUUGUACACACCGCCCGUCGCUCCUACCGAUUGAAUGAUCCGAUGAAUAUCAUGGAUUGAGGAUGCAAGUAGGUUCACCUAUCUUCAUCUUCGAGAAGUGAAGUAAAUCUUAUCAUUUAGAGGAAGGAGAAGCCGUAACA
rnacentral:rRNA from 1 species